rnacentral:rRNA from 1 species
UACAGAGGUCCCGAGCGUUGUUCGGAUUCACUGGGCGUAAAGGGUGCGUAGGUGGCCUGAAAAGCUUGAUGUGAAAGCUCAGGGCUUAACCCUGAAAUGGCAUUGAAUACUGUCGGGCUGGAGGUUUGGAGGGGGGACUGGAAUUCUUGGUGUAGCAGUGAAAUGCGUAGAUAUCAAGAGGAACACCAGUGGCGAAGGCGAGUCCCUGGACAACACCUGACACUGAGGCACGAAAGCUAGGGGAGCAAACAGG